GAGCCACGGCAGGGCGCGGUAAUACGUAGGUGGCAAGCGUUAUCCGGGAUUUAUUGGGCGUAAAGCGAGCGCAGGCGGUCUUUUAAGUCUAAUGUGAAAGCCUUCGGCUCAACCGAAGAAGUGCAUUGGAAACUGGGAGACUUGAGUGCAGAAGAGGACAGUGGAACUCCAUGUGUAGCGGUGAAAUGCGUAGAUAUAUGGAAGAACACCAGUGGCGAAGGCGGCUGUCUGGUCUGCAACUGACGCUGAGGCUCGAAAGCAUGGGUAGCGAACAGGAUUAGAUACCCUGGUAGUCCAUGCCGUAAACGAUGAUUACUAAGUGUUGGAGGGUUUCCGCCCUUCAGUGCUGCAGCUAACGCAUUAAGUAAUCCGCCUGGGGAGUACGACCGCAAGGUUGAAACUCAAAAGAAUUGACGGGGGCCCGCACAAGCGGUGGAGCAUGUGGUUUAAUUCGAAGCUACGCGAAGAACCUUACCAGGUCUUGACAUCUUCUGACAGUCUAAGAGAUUAGAGGUUCCCUUCGGGGACAGAAUGACAGGUGGUGCAUGGUUGUCGUCAGCUCGUGUCGUGAGAUGUUGGGUUAAGUCCCGCAACGAGCGCAACCCUUAUUACUAGUUGCCAGCAUUAAGUUGGGCACUCUAGUGAGACUGCCGGUGACAAACCGGAGGAAGGUGGGGACGACGUCAAAUCAUCAUGCCCCUUAUGACCUGGGCUACACACGUGCUACAAUGGAUGGUACAACGAGUCGCGAGACCGCGAGGUUAAGCUAAUCUCUUAAAACCAUUCUCAGUUCGGACUGUAGGCUGCAACUCGCCUACACGAAGUCGGAAUCGCUAGUAUCGCGUAAUGCUUCCCU
rnacentral:rRNA from 1 species